rnacentral:rRNA from 1 species
UGAGGGAAUAUUGGUCAAUGGGCGAGAGCCUGAACCAGCCAAGUCGCGUGAAGGAUGACUGUCUUUAUGGAUUGUAAACUUCUUUUAUACGGGAAUAACAAGAGCCACGUGUGGCUCCCUGCAUGUACCGUAUGAAUAAGCAUCGGCUAACUCCGUGCCAGCAGCCGCGGUAAUACGGAGGAUGCGAGCGUUAUCCGGAUUUAUUGGGUUUAAAGGGUGCGUAGGCGGCCUGUUAAGUCAGCGGUGAAAUCUAGGAGCUUAACUCCUAAAUUGCCAUUGAUACNGGCGGGCUUGAGUGUAGAUGAGGUAGGCGGAAUGCGUGGUGUAGCGGUGGAAUGCAUAGAUAUCACGCAGAACUCCGAUUGCGAAGGCAGCUUACUAAGGUACAACUGACGCUGAAGCACGAAAGCGUGGGUAUCAAACAGGAUUAGAUACCCUGGUAGUCCACGCAGUAAACGAUGAUAACUGGGCGUAUGCGAUAUACAGUAUGCUCCUAAGCGAAAGCGUUAAGUUAUCCACCUGGGGAGUAACAACCGGCAACGGUG